rnacentral:lncRNA from 1 species
CCAACCUCUUAUUUUUUUGUAAUCCGCUGACACAGCGCCACUGUGGCGCUGACAUGGCGCCUCCGUGGCGCUGACGUGGUGUUGAUGUAAUAUUUUUCGUUAAUUUUAACUGCUAUCUAACGGCUGGGACUUAAUUGAAAUAAAAUCAAAAUAUUAGGGACUUGAUUGCAAAAAAAAAAGAUUGGGAACCAAAUUGAAAAACAAUGUAAAGGUUAUGGACCAUUGGUGUAAUUAACCCUUCUUUAAACCGCAUUUUAUCACCCGAUUCACUAAAGCUAUAGAAACAGAAACAUCAAAUUAGCUUCUUUUUUUUUUCACAUACUUUAGAACCUAAUAAGAGAUGAUUUGACCAUUUUUUUCUCGAUUUGAGCAGAAGCGAAGCCAAACAUGCACCCACCGUAACAAGAACAAUCACUUGUCAUCAAUCACAGUAGCUAUUCUUGUCACACCCCAAUAAUCCCACAUUAGAUAUGAAUAGAGAUGUGAUUGGAUAUAUAAGAGACUUAGACACUAGUAAUAAUAACUAAGCUUUGGGCCGGUGUUUGGGUCCAACGAGUUAUUAUUGUUAGUGGACUGGGUCGUUACAUUUGAUGUCAGAGCCAGUUCACCGGUCGAAAAUGUGUGGCGAAUCUCGGCUGAGUCAAGGUCUGAAAGACAAGGUGAUAGGUUAAGCCGUAGUCUAUUUGACAAGGCUAGGUCAGGGUCUGAAUGACAAGGCUAGCGAGACGAGUAUCACAUCACCUGGUGAUCUUGGGCUGUGUGCGUGAUUCUGUCACACCCCAAUAAUUCCACAUCAGAUAUAAAUGGGAAUGUAAUUGAGUAUAUAAGAGACUUAGACACUAGUAAUAAUAACUAGGCUUAAGCAUUUUGGGCCGGUGUUUGGGCCCAACGAGUUAUUAUUGCUAGUAGACUAGGUCGUUAUAAUUCUUGUGUUUUUACAUAUGUGGACUUUCGGUGUUGGUGGGCUAAUAUAUAAAUGGACUACAAAAAGUAUUUAACAUUACAAUAACAAACUUUAAUAAUAUAACUAAACUUCAGUACACUACAACUGAAUAAUACAAUUUGAUCCACACUUCACAACUCUAAUAUACUUUGAUCCACACUUCACAACUCUACACAACAAAUUACAUGCCCUCUAUUUAUAGAGCAUGAAACAAUGCAACUCUUCACGAAAAAAGACAAUCCUUCACUAAAAGACAUGACCCUAAGCCAAAAGACACAAUUUUACAAAAUGACACACUCUUUCACAAGAUACAUAACUUUUCAAUAAAACAAAUUAAAUAAAUAAACAAGCUUACGAACUAACAUUCCCCCUUAAGGUUGUUUAUACAAAACUAUCGACGUCUUCUUCGAUUGGGCCUCUUCAUAAUCUUUGA